rfam:Triticum aestivum genome assembly, contig: Triticum_aestivum_CS42_TGACv1_scaffold_457233_5DS
UAAAUACUCUCUCCCUCCAAAAAUUCUUGUCUUAGAUUUGUCUAAAUAUGGAUGUAUCAAGUCACGUUUUAGUAUUAGAUACAUCCGUAUCUAGACAAAUAUAAGACAAGAAUUUUGGGACGGAGGGAGUAUAAG